rnacentral:rRNA from 1 species
GACGAACGCUGGCGGCGCGCUUAACACAUGCAAGUCGAACGGCCCUUUCGGGGUCAGUGGCGAACGGGUGCGUAACACGUGAGCAACCUGCCUGGAGUUGGGGGAUAACCUCGGGAAACCGGGGCUAAUACCGCAUGCGCUCUCGCUGUCGGAUGGUGGCGGGAGGAAAGCAGCUAAGGCUGUGACUUCAGAGGGGCUCGCGGCGUAUCAGCUAGUUGGUGAGGUGAAGGCUCACCAAGGCGACGACGCGUAGGGGGUCUGAGAGGAUGGCCCCCCACAUUGGGACUGAGAUACGGCCCAG